CCUACGGGAGGCAGCAGUGAGGAAUAUUGGUCAAUGGGCGAGAGCCUGAACCAGCCAAGUCGCGUGAAGGAAGAAGGAUCUAUGGUUUGUAAACUUCUUUUGUAUGGGAGUAAAGUGCGGAACGUGUUGCUGUUGGUCUGUACCAUAUGAAUAAGCAUCGGCUAACUCCGUGCCAGCAGCCGCGGUAAUACGGAGGGUGUGGGCGUUAUCCGGAUUUAUUGGGUUUAAAGGGUGCGUAGGUGGUUAAUUAAGUCAGGGGUGAAAGUUUGUGGGCCAACCAUAGAACUGCCGUUGAAACUGGUGGACUAGAGUGUAUGAGAGGUAUGCGGAAUGCGUGGUGUAGCGGUGAAAUGCAUAGAUAUCACGCAGAACUCCGAUUGCGAAGGCAGCUUAC
rnacentral:rRNA from 1 species